GGGAGAAACGGACGAGGCCAGACCAGCGACGCCGCGCGCGGGCGAAGGCCCCCGGGCCGUAAACCGCCCUUCAGCAGGGAAGAAGCGAAAGUGACGGUACCUGCAAAAGAAGCACCGGCUAACUAUGUGCCAGCAGCCGCGGUAAUACAUAGGGUGCAAGCGUUGUCCGGAAUUAUUGGGCGUAAAGAGCUCGUAGGUCGUUAAUUACGUCGGGUGUGAAAAUCUGGGGCUCAACCCCAGACCUGCACUCGAUACGGGUUAGCUAGAGUUUGGUAGGGGAGACUGGAAUUCCUGGUAUAGCGGUGGAAUGCGCAGAUAUCAGGGGGGGGGGGGGAUGGCGAAGGCAGGUCUCUGGGCCAAUACUGACACUGAGGAGCGAAA
rnacentral:rRNA from 1 species